rnacentral:rRNA from 1 species
CCAGCAACUUGGAGGAAUGUAUAGCAAUAGCUAAUUACAUCAAAAAUAUGAUGUAAGAUCGAUUUAUUGAAUAAAAUUCUGGAUAGAAUUAUGAUUAUGACAUUAUCUAUCCAUGUGUCUUGACCAAAUUACGUGCCAGCAGUCGCGGUAAUACGUAAAAGACUAGUGUUAUUCAUCUUUAAUAGGUUUAAAGGGUACCUAGACAGUAAAUCAAGCCCUAGACGGGACUAAUUUACUAGAGUUACUUACGAGGGGGUUUUAAAGUACUAAUGGUGUAGAGAUGAAAUUUUGUAAUACCAUUUUUCAAAAGAAAAGAAAAGUAAUGGCACAGGUAUAGGCGAAAGCAUCCCCUUAUGUGAUAACUGACGUUGAAGGACGAAGGCUUUGAGUAGCGAACAGGAUUAGAUACCCUGGUAGUCAAAGCAGAAAAUAAUGAGUGUCAUAGAUUAGAUAUUAAAGUUUAUUCUAUAAAUGAAAGUGUAAGCACUCCACCUCAAGAGUAAUUUGGCAACAUUGGAACUGAAAUCAUUAGACCGUUUCUGAAACCAGUAGUGAAGUAUGUUGUUUAAUUUGAUAAUCCGCAAAAAACCUUACCACAAUUUGAAUAUUUAUAUCAUUGAUAUAAUUACAAGCGUUGCACGGCUGUCUUCAGUUAAUGUCGUGAGAUUUUGGUUAGAUCCAUUAAAUUAACGCAAGCCCUUACUUUAUUUUUAAAUAAAGUGGUUCCCCGCUAGAUUGGAUAUGAUAACAGGGAUUAAGACAAGUCAUCAUGGCCUGAAUAUUGUGGGCUAUAGACGUGCCACAUAAACCUUUACAAAAGGAUGUGAAAUUGUGAAAUUGAGCUAAUCCC